rnacentral:rRNA from 1 species
UAGACUAAAGUUAAGUAGUUUAAGUUGUGUGCAAGUGGUAGGAGAGCGUUCUAUUUGCGUCGAAGGUAUACCGGUAAGGAGUGCUGGAGCGAAUAGAAGUGAGCAUGCAGGCAUGAGUAGCGAUAAUUAAUGUGAGAAUCAUUAACGCCGUAAACCCAAGGUUUCCUACGCGAUGCUCGUCAUCGUAGGGUUAGUCGGGUCCUAAGUCGAGUCCGAAAGGGGUAGACGAUGGCAAAUUGGUUAAUAUUCCAAUACCAACAUUAGUGUGCGAUGGAAGGACGCUUAGGGCUAAGGGGGCUAGCGGAUGGAAGUGCUAGUCUAAGGUCGUAGGAGGUUAUACAGGCAAAUCCGUAUAACAAUACUCCGAGAACUGAAAGGCUUUUUGAAGUCUUCGGAUGGAUAGAAGAACCCCUGAUGCCGUCGAGCCAAGAAAAGUUUCUAAGUUUAGCUAAUGUUGCCCGUACCGUAAACCGACACAGGUGGGUGGGAUGAGUAUUCUAAGGCGCGUGGAAGAACUCUCUUUAAGGAACUCUGCAAAAUAGCACCGUAUCUUCGGUAUAAGGUGUGGUUCGCUUCGUAUUAGGAUUUACUCCGAAAGCGAAGAAACUUACAACAAAGAGUCCCUCCCGACUGUUUACCAAAAACACAGCACUCUGCUAACUCGUAAGAGGAUGUAUAGGGUGUGACGCCUGCCCGGUGCUCGAAGGUUAAUUGAUGGGGUUAGCAUUAGCGAAGCUCUUGAUCGAAGCCCGAGUAAACGGCGGCCGUAACUAUAACGGUCCUAAGGUAGCGAAAUUCCUUGUCGGUUAAAUACCGACCUGCAUGAAUGGCGUAACGAGAUGGGAGCUGUCUCAAAGAGGGAUCCAGUGAAAUUGUAGUGGAGGUGAAAAUUCCUCCUACCCGCGGCAAGACGGAAAGACCCCGUGGACCUUUACUACAGCUUGACACUGCUAUUUGGAUAAGAAUGUGCAGGAUAGGUGGGAGGCUUUGAGUAUAUGACGCCAGUUGUAUAUGAGCCAUUGUUGAGAUACCACUCUUUCUUAUUUGGGUAGCUAACCAGCUUGAGUUAUCCUCAAGUGGGACAAUGUCUGGUGGGUAGUUUGACUGGGGCGGUCGCCUCCCAAAUAAUAACGGAGGCUUACAAAGGUUGGCUCAGAACGGUUGGAAAUCGUUCGUAGAGUAUAAAGGUAUAAGCCAGCUUAACUGCAAGACAUACAAGUCAAGCAGAGACGAAAGUCGGUCUUAGUGAUCCGGUGGUUCUGUGUGGAAGGGCCAUCGCUCAAAGGAUAAAAGGUACCCCGGGGAUAACAGGCUGAUCUCCCCCAAGAGCUCACAUCGACGGGGAGGUUUGGCACCUCGAUGUCGGCUCAUCGCAUCCUGGGGCUGGAGCAGGUCCCAAGGGUAUGGCUGUUCGCCAUUUAAAGCGGUACGCGAGCUGGGUUCAGAACGUCGUGAGACAGUUCGGUCCCUAUCUGCCGUGGGCGUAAGAAGAUUGAAGAGAUUUGACCCUAGUACGAGAGGACCGGGUUGAACAAACCACUGGUGUAGCUGUUGUUCUGCCAAGAGCAUCGCAGCGUAGCUAAGUUUGGAAAGGAUAAACGCUGAAAGCAUCUAAGCGUGAAGCCAACUCUAAGAUGAAUCUUCUCUAAGCUCUCUAGAAGACUACUAGUUUGAUAGGCUGGGUGUGUAAUGGAUGAAAGUCCUUUAGCUGACCAGUACUAAUAGAGCGUUUGGCUUAUCUUU